UACGUAGGGUGCAAGCGUUGUCCGGAAUUAUUGGGCGUAAAGGGCUCGUAGGCGGUCCGUCACGUCGGGAGUGAAAUCCUGGGGCUUAACCCCAGAACUGCUUCCGAUACGGGCAGACUAGAGGUAGGUAGGGGAGAAUGGAAUUCCUGGUGUAGCGGUGGAAUGCGCAGAUAUCGGGAGGAACACCAGUGGCGAAGGCGGUUCUCUGGGCCUGUACUGACGCUGAGGAGCGAAAGCGUGGGGAGCGAACAGG
rnacentral:rRNA from 1 species